rnacentral:misc_RNA from 1 species
UAAAUAUUUAAUUUUUCUUCUUUUCUUAUGGAAUGAAUUUGCAAGAAAAUAAUUUAAAGAAUUCUCACCUAAUCAUGAAUUUUAUUUAUGUUUGAAUAAAUUAUUUUUUGAAGGUAGUCUAAACAUGAUAAUUAUUAAAAAAAAUCAUCAAAAAGGGGUAAAAGGUAAUGAGUUAAAUAUUUAUUACUGAAUUAACUUUAUUUUUACCACUUGGGUUGUUUAUGGAAGUAAUUGGAGCUUAGAUAUAAUUAAAUGCAGAGUAAUUUUGGUGGCAAAAUAUAAAUAUUACCGUGUUAAAUGUUUUAUUUAACUAAAAAUGAAAUUUUCGAAUAUGGGAAAUUGGAAAUUACUCUGUUCUCAUCUCUUUUCUCAAAUUUUAAAUAAUCAUGUCCUUCUCAUUGUCAUUUUUCAUUAAUGAUUCCUUAAGUCGCUUGACACAGGUGGAAUAGUUGGAAUCACUUCGGUUGCCAAAUUGAUGAGAACAUGAUCAAAGAGACUGCUGAUGCCUUGGUUUCGACCGGUCUUCAUAAACUUGGUUAUACAUAUUUUAACAUUGAUGAUUGCUGGGCAGAAAUAGCUCGUGAUGAAGAGGGAAGGCUAGUGCCUAAGAACGCUACAUUUCCAUCUGGCAUUAAAGCGCUGGCAGACUAUGUUCACAGCAAAGGUCUUAAAUUAGGAAUUUACGCAGAUGCAGGGUAUUUUACAUGUAGCAAAACAAUGCCGGGUUCACUUGGCCAUGAGGAGCAGGAUGCUAUGACUUUUGCUUCGUGGGGAAUUGAUUAUUUGAAGUAUGAUAAUUGUAAUAAUGAUGGCACAAAGCCAACUGUUAGAUAUCCUGUCAUGACUCGUGCUCUGAUGAAGACAGGCCGUUCUAUAUUCUUCUCACUUUGUGAAUGGGGAGACUUACAUCCUGCUCUUUGGGGUGGUAAGGUGGGAAAUAGCUGGAGAACAACCAAUGACAUUUCUGAUAAUUGGGAAAGUAUGGUCUCCAGGGCAGACAUGAAUGAAGUUUUUGCUGACUAUGCAAGGCCGGGUGGUUGGAAUGAUCCUGACAUGCUUGAGGUGGGAAAUGGAGGGAUGACAAAAGAUGAAUACAUAGUCCACUUCAGUAUAUGGGCCAUGUCCAAGGCUCCCCUUCUUCUUGGUUGUGAUGUGAGGAAUAUAACAAAAGAGACUAUGGAAAUUGUUACCAAUAAGGAGGUUAUUGCCGUUAACCAAGAUCCACUUGGCGUUCAAGCAAAGAAGGUUAGGAUGGAAGGUGAUGUUGAGAUUUGGGCUGGGCCCCUCACAGGCUACAGAGUAGUUGCUUUACUACUCAACCGAGGCCCUUGGCGCAGUUCGAUUACUGCCAAUUGGGAUGACAUUGGAAUCCCCCCUAAAAGUUCUGUUCAAGCAAGAGAUGUGUGGGAGCACAAGACACUGAAGGCACAAUUUGUGGGGAACAUAACAGCGACUGUGGAAUCCCAUGCAUGCAAGAUGUAUAUUUUGAAACCUAUUUCAUAGGUUGAUUAUAUCAAUUACCAUUUGCAUUGGAAUGUCUAAGAUGGAACGAGUGUAUGUGUUAACAUGUUUUAUUGGAAAUUUUGAACUAUUCUAUCAAAAUCCAAAUAAUAAUUAUUUAAUUAGCUGUCUUGAAAAGGAUAUUAGUC